rnacentral:rRNA from 1 species
UACGUAGGGUGCGAGCGUUGUCCGGAAUUAUUGGGCGUAAAGAGCUUGUAGGCGGUUUGUCGCGUCUGCUGUGAAAUUUCGGGGCUCAACCCCGAACUUGCAGUGGGUACGGGCAGACUAGAGUGUGGUAGGGGAGACUGGAAGUUCCUGGUGUAGCGGUGAAAUGCGCAGAUAUCAGGAGGAACACCGAUGGCGAAGGCAGGUCUCUGGGCCACUACUGACGCUGAGGAGCGAAAGCGUGGGGAGCGAACAGG